rnacentral:lncRNA from 1 species
AAUCUUCAUUAUUCAGAUAACAAGUAAUGUUGCAUUCUAUCGUUGACCUGUAAAAAGUUUAUUUUUGCAAGUUUGAGCUCGACAGCUCAACAAAUAUAAUAGCUUUCAUGUCGCACAUAACACAUAAGUUUCAUGCUCAACAUAUAUCUCAAUUUAAAACAGUUAUACGAUUUCAUGCUCAACAUAAAUAUCAGUUUAAGAUACAUGUAAAUUCCACAUGCCUGAUAUAUCACAUAUCACAAAUUGAGUUCCAUAACCAUAUAUAGUCAUAAUUUGACUUUCGAGAUUCAUAUACACAUCAUAUGAAAUUUAACAUGCUCAUUCUAACACAUUUUAUAGACAUUCCAUAUCAAAUUCAUAUAACAAAUAGAAACUUGAAGACUUGUCCUAAGCAUUCUUCUUCUUCAUCUUAGCUUUAAUCACUUCUUGAUCUUGAUCUUGAUCUUCAUCCUCUCCCUCUUGAUUCGGCUAACUCUUCCUGUUUUUUCUCCAAUUUGAUAGAGUUUCCCCUCUUAACUUUUGUGAAUUGGUGAGUUCUAAGUGAAGGAGGAAGGGCCUAUUUAUAGAAAACUCAAGACUUAGCCCCUAAGUCUCGUGUUUUAACAAACUUGACACCUCUUGCUAAAUUAAGCUUGACAAGGCUUAUAGUCAGCCACCUCGUGCUAGGUUAAAAGCUUGACAAGGCUUAUGGUCAACCACCUUGUGCUAGGUUAGAAGUUUGAUAAGGCUUAUUGUGCUAGGUUAAAAGCUUGACAAAGCUUAUGGUUAGCCACCACGUUCUAGGUUUAAAAGUUUGACAAAGCUUAUGGUUAGCCACCUCAUGCUAGGUUAAAAGCUUGACAAUGUAGCUUUUAACUAAAAAUAUCUUACAAGUAGCUUGGUCAAAAUAUUUGGUUGAUUGUGGGGCUGAUUAGUGGCAACCUACUUGUGUCGUGCUUUAGAUUUUGACCAGCUAUAGAAAACCAAAUCCAUGACCUUUAAUCUGAUUUGUCCAAUGUGGUUUCUUAGUUACCUAAUUGUUAAGUUGAAGUAGCUUACAAGUUACUUAACUUGAAAGCACGAUAAAUCACUAUAUUAGUUUAAGCACGACAAAACAGCUUUUCAUAAAUAUAUCAAGAAGCUCGUCGGUGAAAAUAUUUUUAAGCUUGACGUUUUUCUCUAAAAAUAUUUUUAUUUCGUCUAUGAAACCACAACACAUACACAUAAUCACAUAAACACACAUACUAGGUCUUAAUUCGACCUUAAAUCUCAUAAAAUCACAUUUAUACAUAAUAAUAUCCAC